GGGGGUGUAGCUCAGGGGUAGAGCGUCCGCUUUGCAUGCGGAAGGUCAGGGGUUCGAUUCCCCUCACCUCCA